AAGUCGUAACAAGGUUUCCGUAGGUGAACCUGCGGAAGGAUCAUUAACGAAUAUCUAUGGCGUUGGUUGUAGCUGGCUCUUAGGAGCACUUGUGCACGCCCGUCAUUCAUAUCAUCUUUCCACCUGUGAACUAUGUGUAGGCCUGGAUACCCCUCGCUUUGGCGACAAAGCGGAUGCAAGGAUUGCUGUGUCGACAAGGCCAGCUCUCUUUGAAUUUCCAGGUCCUAUGUCUUUUUACACACCCCAUUAGAAUGAUGUAGAAUGUAGUCAAUGGGCUCUAUGCCUAUAAAACACUAUACAACUUUCAGCAACGGAUCUCUUGGCUCUC
rnacentral:misc_RNA from 1 species